rnacentral:tRNA from 1 species
GCGGGUGUAGCUCAGUGGUAGAGCAUCUGCCUUCCAAGCAGAGGGUCGAGGGUUCGAAUCCCUUCGCCCGCUCCA